AGUGAACGCUGGCGGUAGGCCUAACACAUGCAAGUCGAACGGCAGCACAGUAAGAGCUUGCUCUUACGGGUGGCGAGUGGCGGACGGGUGAGGAAUACAUCGGAAUCUACUUUUUCGUGGGGGAUAACGUAGGGAAACUUACGCUCAUACCGCAUACGACCUACGGGUGAAAGCAGGGGAUCUUCGGACCUUGCGCGAUUGAAUGAGCCGAUGUCGGAUUAGCUAGUUGGCGGGGUAAAGGCCCACCAAGGCGACGAUCCGUAGCUGGUCUGAGGGGAUGUAAGCGCCCUGUGGAGGGAAGCAAGGGCCCUGGCACCGAGGGAAGGCAGAGGGGGGGAAGUUAGGCAAGGGGGGGAAAGCUUGAACAAGCCAACCCGGUGGGGGGAAGAAGGCCUUCGGGUUGUAAACCCCUUUGUUGGGGAAAAAAAAGCAGCGGGUGAAACCCCCGGUGUUUGACGGGAACCAAAAAAAAAGGCCCGGCUAAAUUCGGG
rnacentral:rRNA from 1 species